GACAGUUAACAGUUGGGCUGAGCGUUCACCUUGGCAGGAUGGGUCUUCCUAGUAGAGCAAGACAAGGGUUGGAAUUGGGCUAUCCUAACCCUUGAGAGGUCUGGGCAGCUUUGCCCUUAGGCUGAGUAAGGCAGCUGAUUUGAGCAAGGACUACACAAUAUUUUAUCUUGAAUGUUGACUCCCGGGGUGGUGGGGUGAUAGGAUUUUCCACCUGAUGAGUCCAAAUAAUUUGGACUGUCUUCCAUACAAGAU